rnacentral:rRNA from 1 species
AUCUAUGGCCAUGCCACCCUGAACAAGCCUGAUCCCAUCUGAUCUUGGAAGCUAAGCAGGGUCGGGCCUUUUUAGUAUUUGGAUGGGAGACCACCUAGGAAGACCAGGUGCUAUAGGCA